UCCAGAUUUUCACCAUGACGGAAAAGGGUCUGACUGGCAGCCCUACAGGGAAGAGGUGGAUGCUGCUGAUCACUGAAAUGUAAUAAAAAACACCGGAUCCCAAGCCAGAGAGAACCCAAGACAGAAGAAUUGAUGAAAAACUUGGAGGAUCUUAAAAGAAGAGAGGUUUAAGGAGGGAAUUUCGGAGAAUGAGGCCUAGGAAGCAGAUGGAAUGACUGCCAAUGAUCGGACAAACAGAGGGCAGGAGAUCACAUGAGGCAAGAGUCUGAAAAAAUUUGAGGUCUCAGGUGAGGGAGCAAUGGAGCAUGAAGAGGCUGAGGAAUCCUCAAAGAAAGGCGCAUACUCUGAGGGAGCAUUCAAGUGUAUCCCUAACCACUGCAGAAACACGUGCCCUGGUGUGGACAGGAAUAGAAACAGUUAGAUGUCACCUGGUGUCACAAUGACGGAAAAACUGUGACGGAGUGAGAGCGACCUACAACUUCAGUUAACCACAGACAUAUUGAACUGUUUAAAGAAGACCUGUUUUUUUUAAAAACAUACAGGUAAAUUCAUUGACCAAAGAUGGAUACCAGCAAUCACCUGAUGUCUGACACUAUAAAGUUGACUACUUCUCUGGAAAGUCUAUAUAAAUUGCAUUGCAGACCUGUCACAUGGAAUUUCACACCUGUGGGGUUGGGGCAGGGGCUGGGUGGUAACCAAGUCUAUUUCAAACAAAGACUCUUGAAAGGAAGGUGUUAAGGAUGCAAAAUGCUGGGGUUCGAUCAGAUAGUCAUCAGACAUUUAAAACCCCCUAUGGAGGACAAAAUAACCCCAGCUCCUGUUGAUUUAUAUCUUUAAAAAAAAUGUCAAAAGGUUUCUGAGAUGAAAGAAUAAAAAAAACUGGAUUACUACAACAAUGGAUGCAAGACAUGCCAAUUGAAUUCCUUUCCAGUAAUAUACAGAAAUGACUUUAAAACUGGCUCUGCCAAGCGGAGAAAAAGGGGACAAGCAAGAAGACAGAAACAUGACAGUCAUCUAAGAACUCUGCUGAAAAAGAGUAGGAAAGAUAGAUCGAUCUCCCUCUCUCUUUCUCUCUCUCUCUCUCGAAGCAAAAAGUGUCUCUUCAACAGUGUGCAGACCUGAACAAAGGCAACUCCAGAAUUCUACUGGAAACCACCUAGUUUCAACGGCCAUAACGUUUCACAUUCUACACCUCACUGACAAGAAAAGGACUUACUCAUAUCUUCUUUUAACUUUUAUUUGGACUCUAAUUUUCUGAUAUGUGUGUGUGCUGCUGUGUCUUUUAUUAUUUUUUCACAGGUUUUAGUAACUAAUAAACUAACUCUUUGACUCAAGAAAACUUGGUUUGAUUGGCUCCUUGUUUAAAAGUAGAUAGAUUUGGACUGGAAAAGGUAUCAAUGGGGGAAAGAAAUGUAAAAAAACAAACCUUUGUAACCAACUGAGGGGGUUGAAUAAAAGGGGAGCCAGCUCACUCCUCCUCACCAGGUCGUAGCAAUGGUGAGACAAACAUCACAUCUGAUCAGGAGUAGGUGUAGGAUUCAGGGAGAACAGUGGAGAUUCCCCAUCAGAGGGAGCAGAACAUUCCAAGUUCUGCUCAGCUGGGCACAAGAGGAAGGAGGGAAUUUCUGGAACAGCACUGGGAAAAGUCUGUAGCGCUGUUAGUACUUCCUGAGGCCAUGCUCAUCCUUGCAGAGAGCUUGGAGGAGUCAAUCUCAAAUUUGAGUGUCGUAAUGUCUGAGUUAUUUGCUCUGAUGUUCACCUUCAUGGAGAGAAUGACCAUCAAUUGCGACAGGCCACCAAGUACAUGCCUGUCAUCAGCAAUGACAUGCACAUUCUAUCUGGCACUGGAUGGAAAAAAGCCUAAUCAUGACCACUUCACGCCUUACAGAUAUGCAUCCAUUGCUCUCCAGCGCACUGCUAGCAGAGGAGCAUAGGUGGGCACGUGGAAGUGGGGACUAUUCCCAAGGCACUUUCACUUCUUAUGCCUUCUCCACUCACCUCGGAUGUUGUGGCACAGUGGUAAUGUCACUGGACUAGUAAUUCAGUUAAUUCUCUGAAACAUGAGUUCAAAUCCCUCCCACGGAAUCUGGUUGAAUUUAAAUUCAACUAAUAAAAUCAGGAAUAUAAAGCUAGUCUCAGUAAUGGUGACCACUUCAGCUAUCAUUGAUUGUUAUAAAAAGCCAUUGGUUCACUAAUGCUCUUCAGGGAAGGAAAUCUGCCCUCCUUACCUGAGCCUGUCCUACAUAUGACUCCAGACUCACAGCAACAUGGUUGACUCUUAAUUGCCCUCUGAAAUGGCCUAGCAAGCUAUUCUGUGCAAGGGCAACAAAUGCUGGUCUCGCCAGUGAUGCCCUCAUCCCAUGAAAGAAUAAAGAAAAGACAGAGGCCCACACAUUGCCUCCUACCCUAAUGUCCAAGUCUGCACAAGUGUAGGUGGGGCAGUCUUUGAUGAAUCUUGGACAGGCUCCAAAACAGAGGGAAUAUCUUCCAUGAGCAUCUCAUGUGUCAGAGCAGGGGAGUGAGCAGCCUGCCUCUAGCUCUGCCAAAGCUACAAUGGUAGCACUACUUAAGAGCAAUAGAAAGCCAAAGAGGAAGACUUCUUAGUUGCACAAGGGGGUUCACUUGGGUGUUUGUAGUUAUGUCAGUGUUAUUUCAUUUGUGAAAUAGUGAAUGAGGAAAGGUUUUAUAUGUGGUGCCGUCUUCCAAUUCUUCAAUAGACAAAAGGCUUCAUCAAAAUGGUAUGCCCAGGGUAGAGUGCAAACUGUGUGCUUGGAAUGCAGUGGUUUUAUCAAUGUGGAAAUGCUUUGUGCUGGGGCUGUGGAUGGUGGACCAGAAUAUUCAGUGCCAUAUGGCUUUGUGCUUUAUGUUAUUUGAACUGUGCCUCUGAGGCCAUCACAGGCUUCUCUGGCAGCCAGAUGUGUAGCUGUAGCCAUCCAGCCCAGAUGCUCCUUUUUCCUCAGUUCCUGCUCAUCCUUGUCCUCCACGUUGCAGGAAGAUGCCGAGCAGCUUACACCUUCAUCCUCCUGCAGCUCCAUUCCUCUCUGCAAUGCCAUGCUGGACAAGGCACAGAAGACCACCACCAUUCUCGAUACCUUUCCUUGUGCAAACUGUAGAGCCUGCCCCCAGAUCUGUCAAGGCAUCUGAAUCUCAUUUUCAGCAAUCCAACAACUUGCUCAGUGAUCAAUCUUGUGAUGAUGUGGCUGCUGUUGUGCCUCUCUUCAGCAUCAUUGGCAGGGCUGCUGACACUGGUGUCAUCAGCCAGGUCUUCAGAAGGUAGCCCUUGUCUUCAAGGAGCCACCUACUCAAUCUGCUUGGAGGUGCCAACACCUACUGUAGACUUAACUAGUGCGUAGGAGUCAUGGCAGUUUCCAGGAAACCUUGCACAUGAGUGGAUCUUUUUAUUCUUUCAAGGGAUGUAUGCUUCGCUGGCAAGACCAGUAUUUGUUGCUCAUUCCUAAUUGCUCUUGAGAAGCAAACUUAUAAUGAGAAACUUUUAAAGUUUUAAACUUUUAAACUAAUUGAUACAUUUAUAAUGAUCGCAAACAACCUGCACAUGGAGGGAGUGAAAUCCCUUUCAAUUGAUGAAAACUCUAGGAUUUUCUGAUGGCUCCUUGAUAGCCACAUGUGUACAGCCUAUGACCCCCGAACUGUGGAAAACCAGCCACUGCAACAGAAACAAAUGUCUGAUUGGCCUCAUUGGUGUCAACAUAUUGCAUAUAUUGAGCGGCCUUGGCAAACAUGGCAUUUGUGAACUGGGAAAUUGGUUUGAGGGCUGCAGAUUGUGAGAUCCUGCAGAUGUCCCCAGCUGAUGCCUGAAAGGAGGGGCUGAAGGUGAAGAAAUGCAGGGCUAUGGUGCCCUUGAUCAUCACUGGCACUGUUGCUCCAUUACAUCAAGGAAGCUAAUCCUCUGUAGACCCUGUUUGAGUGGUUUGAGCUUUGGCUCUGUGUCCCUCCCCUCUAUCCUGUGGAUUGGUAUGUAGCCAUGGGGAAGACAGCUGCUGUACAGCAUAGCACUGAUUGAUUGCCAUUGAAACUUGUUUGAAUAUGAGUAAGUUUAUUAGGUGUCUAUAUUCAACAUAGGGAAGUAUGGUCACCCUAGCUGUAGCUGUUGUUGCUGCUCCUGCUAUAGCUGGUGUUGGUGUUGCUGCUCCUGUUCCUCUUCAGUGGGUAAUAUAAUAGUUGCAUAAGCUGCUCCCAUUCUGCAGUGAAGGCUGAGAACAGUUAAAUAAGUUAAGUAAGGUGCAAGGUAAGCAAAAUGACUUCCAUAAAGUUGCCCCUAUCCUUUAAAUGAGGGAAAUCAUGUUCUCAAGACAAGGGCUGUGAGUACAAGCCUUCCCCAUAGGCAUGGCUACAGUUGUUCUGUUUGACUAUUUAAAGAUGUAAAACAGAUGACUAUCCAACUGCUGCUCAUUUCCCACUGUUGAGAACAGUUAUAACCAACCCAAGUUUUGAAUUCAACAUUGAAGGCUAUAAAAGGAAAAAUGGUAAUAGCCCUAACACUGAGCUGCUAACCGAGCACAGACUGAAAAUUAAAGAAAUUUAACUAAGAUUAUUGCAUAACAUUAGUUGAUCCACUGUGGUACUUAUGGGUGAAGGUUAAAAUAAAUGAAUCAUGUUUUGUUUC